rnacentral:lncRNA from 1 species
CGAUCGACGGCAAGGAUCAAGGGUUAAGGUUGGUUUUUCUAUUUUUGUUGGUUAGAGUUCGUGUUCUGUUUUUUUUUUACUUUGAGUUAAAUCCUUUGUAUUUGAAGAAAUUAAAGUUAUGGGAUGUGAUGCAUGUUGGCAGGGAGCUGAUUCCUUAAAAGUUGGUUAGUGUUCUUGUUCUGUUUUUUUUUUUUUUUUACCUUGAGUUAGUUACAUUGUUUUUUGUAGGGAGCUGAAUCCUUUCUUGGGAACGUUUUGGGGAGCAUGGAGGCGGUUUAUCUGAGUCGGAAGCCCGCUGCAAAAUCUGUUUUGGAGUUUGUUCGAUCUGUCCAUGAUGAUACAAAUUUGUUAUGAUCAUACUGCAUUUUGAAGUUUUGGGGUAUUUUUCUUCCAUUUCUUUUCUUCUUCCAAUUUCCGCUUAUCUUUUUA